CACCCUCCCGCUCCUCUUCCUCCUGAGCAUCAAUGGCGGGGGUGCUAGGAGGGGGAGGGGCGGAUGGGCCCUUCUUCGAGCCGUACAACCAUCGCAGAGCAGAGCAGGAAGCUCGUCUCCGAGUUAAAUGCAUCUGGUCAUGGAUAUGAUUCAGAGCAUCAGAUUCACAAGCAUGAUGGAUGGAGGGAUCUGUCAAAUGGUGCGGCUCCUUGUACUACAAUGACAGUGACAUGCCGGCCUCCCACACGCACAUAGCAUGCACUGAUUGACACCUCAGUAAUCAAAUGCAGGGGAGUAUCUAGCUUUGCUUGUAUGUGUGUGUACUAAGAUGAGGCAGUUAUCAAAUUAAGUGUCUUCUGAAAGCAACAAAUAUGAUGAUGAUACAAUACAAACUUGUAAGUCACAUCAAACUCUGCUUCU